AGAGUUUGAUCAUGGCUCAGAAUCAACGCUGGCGGCGUGCCUAACACAUGCAAGUCGAGCGAGAGGAAGUAGCAAUACUUUAGUAAAGCGGCGCACGGGUGAGUAACACGUGGAUAACCUGCCUCGAAGUGGGGAAUAACACCGGGAAACCGGUGCUAAUACCGCAUAAUCUGACGAGAUCUGUGGAUUUUGUCAGCAAAGGAGCAAUUCGCUUUGAGAGGGGUCCGCGGCUGAUUAGCUAGUUGGUGAGGUAAUGGCUCACCAAGGCCACGAUCAGUAGCCGGUCUGAGAGGACGGUCGGCCACACUGGAACUGAGACACGGUCCAGACUCCUACGGGAGGCAGCAGUGGGGAAUUUUUCGCAAUGGGGGCAACCCUGACGAAGCAACGCCGCGUGGGUGAUGAAGUAUUUCGGUACGUAAAACCCUUUCGACGGGGACGAAACCGCAAGGUUGACGGUACCCGUAGAAGAAGCCCCGGCUAACUCCGUGCCAGCAGCCGCGGUAAUACGGGGGGGGCAAGCGUUGUUCGGAAUUACUGGGCGUAAAGGGCGCGUAGGCGGCUCGCUAAGUUGGAUGUGAAAACUCUGGGCUUAACCCAGAGCCUGCAUCCAAAACUGGCAAGCUUGAGUACUGGAGGGGAAAGCGGAAUUCCUGGUGUAGCGGUGAAAUGCGUAGAUAUCAGGAGGAACACCGGUGGCGAAGGCGGCUUUCUGGACAGUAACUGAGCUGAGGCGCGAAAGCUAGGGGAGCAAACAGGAUUAGAUACCCUAGUAGUCC
rnacentral:rRNA from 1 species